UGCACCCCUCGUGGAUGAGGACUGAAGUGGCUGCUGUACCCAUAGACUGGUUAACUCCCAUUGAAAUGAUUGCAGUUGUUCCUGGGGAUGUCCUUGAAGGAGAUGGAGAACCUGAGGUACAGAGAAUCUAAUGCUAUCAUCCAAAGCAUCUCAGUGGUCCCACUGGAAGGAGAAACUGGGAGCCCUAUAGCAACUCUUUGUUGCUAUAUUGCAUAGGUUGCAAGGAGUGAAAGCAAAUGGGAUUGUAGAUCUCUAUCUUCUGGAUGUGUUGCUAUCUUGGUUGGAGGACAAAAAGGAGAAGAUUGAGCCGCCACCUUGACAUUCUGCUGAUAUAAUUUAAAAUCCGAGGGAAUCAUAUGAAAGCAUGGAAGAGACAGAAGAAAAACACAGUACUUUGGAGGUAAGAUGCUGCACACUUUAUCAGGAAGUUGUGUUGUGUUCAAGAGAGGAGGUCCCGUACACUUUUAAUAUAUGGAUGAAGCUGCUAU